AUAGAUUGUUUUGUUGUUGAUUUGUAUUAUUCGUUUAUAUAUUAUUUUAAUUGAAAGAUCAUUUCUGGUUAUUGUAUUUAUUUUGAUUUAAUUUUUUAUACGAUAGAUUAUUUGUACUGUGAUGGAUUAUUAUUAAUUAUAAAUGUUUUGUGGGAAGUUGAUUUUAUUUAUUGUACCUUGUGUAUCAGGGUUCAUUGAAUUUUAUUAUUUAUUUUUAUUUCCCGAUUUUGAAGGAGUUAAUAGCUUAUGUUAGUUGUUGUUUCAUCAGUAUUAAUAAUAGGUUAUUGGUAAUGAAAUGUUAUUCGUCUUUUAUGGUUUCUGGUUUUCCAAGAAAUGAAUUUAAUUCAUACAUCAUAUCUAAUUUCUGUUAUUACUUUAUUUAUUUUUAUUUGAUGUUAAGGUUAGGGGGGAUUAGCUCUCUAUUUUAUUAUUAUAAUUUUGGCUGUGAAUUUGGUUUUGUGGAUUUUAUAGUGAUUUUCAAUUUGAUUAUGUUAAAAUUUUACUUAUUUCUUUUAUUUAUUUAUUUUUAUUUAAUUAGUUUAUUGGNNNNNNNNNNNNGUCUUAAACUUAUAUUUAAUUGAAUUUGGACUUUGAGUUAAAAUUCUUAAAUGUUUUUAUGGGACGAGAAGACCCUAUAGAGUUUAACACCUCCUAUAUUAUGUAUUGUUAUGUUUGUUUUGUAUUUUAAUAUAAUAGGUGUUUUGUUGGGGUGAUGGGAGGAAUGUAUUUAACUCCUCUUUAGUUUAAUUGUAUAUUUAUUUAUAAUUUUAUUUUGAUCCAAUUAUUUUGAUUAUAAGAUUAAAUUACCUUAGGGAUAACAGCGUUAUCCUCCUUGAGAGUUCUUAUUGGCAGGGGGGUUUGCGACCUCGAUGUUGGAUUAAGAUGAAUUUUCGGUGUAGAAGCUGAAAUUUGAUUAGGUCUGUUCGACCUUUAAAAUCUUACAUGAUCUGAGUUCAGACCGGCGUGAGCCAGGUUGGUUUCUAUCUAUAAUGUAUUUUUAUACCUUAGUACGAGAGGACCGGGUAUUUGGAAUAAUUUUAUUUGUAUUUGAUUAUUAUUAAUGUUA
rnacentral:rRNA from 1 species